rnacentral:rRNA from 1 species
GAUGAACGCUGGCGGCGUGCUUAACACAUGCAAGUCGAACGAAGCACUUUAGUUGAUGUCCUUCGGGACUGAUGAUUUUGUGACUGAGUGGCGGACGGGUGAGUAACGCGUGGGUAACCUGCCUUGUACAGGGGGAUAACAGUUGGAAACGGCUGCUAAUACCGCAUAAGCGCACAGCAUCGCAUGAGGCAGUGUGAAAAAGUCCGGUGGUAUAAGAUGGACCCGCGUGGGAUUAGCUAGUUGGUGGGGUAACGGCCCACCAAGGCGACGAUGCAUAGCCGACCUGGGAGUGUGACCGGCCACAUUGGGACUGCGACACGGCCCACACUCCUACGGGAGGCAGCAGUGGGGAAUAUUGCACAAUGGGCGAAAGCCUGAUGCAGCGACGCCGCGUGAGCGAAGAAGUAUUUCGGUAUGUAAAGCUCUAUCAGCAGGGAAGAUAAUGACGGUACCUGACUAAGAAGCACCGGCUAAAUACGUG